GAGAUUGUAGCUCAGCUGGAUAGAGCGUCAGAUUGCGGAUCUGAAGGUCGGAGGUUCGACUCCUCUCAGUCUCA
rnacentral:tRNA from 1 species